UUUCAAUACAAUUUUUAAAAGAAGAAAUUAAAAGAAAACUGGGAUAAUGCUAAUGGUUCUUACCUAUGCUUCUAAUAAACUUAAAAAUCAUCUCCAAAUUCUCUUCCUGUGGAUUAACAUUUUUGAGAUGUAAUAAUGCUGGAGAAUUUGUUCUCACUCAUAUGAGAGCAACUGGCAGCAUCAAAACCUAAGACCAGACAAACAGCCUGUACCUCAGCUCUUAACUAGACUGUUGUUAAAAACACAGGAGCCUUUGUUGAAGGUUGACACAAAGCCUGUGCUCUCAAGACACUGGGGUACUAACCAUGCAGUCACCUGUGUGAACUCCCUCCAUCAAUUUGCCUUCUCAAGCAUAUCUUUCUCUAUUAAAUACAGCCAGCAGGAACUCUGGAAUCAUGGCCAGUGAAUAAAACAAGGUAGAUUUGGCAGAUUUAAGCACCAACUCAGUGUGAUCAUUGCAUUCCUGUGAUUUAGGGACAACUCAGUCAAGACUUGAGUAUAUACCCUGGUAGUGCCUUUUUCUGAGGGAGUAAGAUUUCUCUUGUGAUAGGAAAUUCCUAAGGAAACUUAUUUUUACUGCUUUGUGUCUCUUAUUUCAAAACUGAAAAAUGAGAAAAACAUAAUUAUUAGUUUUGGAUAUAAACAGUGGUGAGUACAUUUUCUAUUUAAACUUCACAGUGAGAUAUGAAUUUAGAAAGCAGUUUUGACUCAAUGUUUAUUUAGCAAAAUAAUAGUAGCUUCACUAUGUGUUCCCCAACCAUGAUUUUCUGGCAAGACUUAAAUCUAAUUAGAAAGCAGUUGGUUUCCACAUAACAUUUGUGCCACUGUUGUAUCCAUGGGUAUGCCUUGACAUGAUGGUCAAUACUGCAGUUCAUAGGGUUUCCAGAUAGUUAAGACUAUUGAUUUCACAUCUACCUCACAAAAGCCACAUAGCAUCUUCUAGGACUAUGAAAUCUAGAUACCAGAGAGGAAGCUUCCUGGUCAUUACCAACUUGAAUUCUCUAUUUCCUAUGACUAACACAUGUGAUGAUACCUUCAGAAAUAUGGUCAAAAUAUGCUGUAUCAGAUUUCCAAAAAGCAUUAUAAAGUAUUUUUACAAAGUCACAAAGAACUUAAAAUUUUUCUUAUAUUACUGAAAUAAACACACCUAAAAGGAAUUUUUGAGGCAAGGUCUUAUGAUGGAGCCCUGAUUGGCCUUGAACUACCUACAUAGACUAGGGUAGUCUUGAACUCACAGAUUUGCCUGCCUCUGCUUCUACAGUCCUAGGAUUAAAGAUGUGUACCAAUACACCUGGCCCAAGAAAUAAGAAACUUAAAAUUAGGUUUCCACAAUUUUGCAGAGAAUGUAAAAAGAGAUGCCUUUCUUUUGCAUUUCUCAUUUCUCCCUUCUCAUAACUUCUUACAAGGAGAGAGCCAUGAACAUGGGCAGAUUGUUGGAACAAAAAAGGACUUGUCUCCUUUUUUGUCCUCCUUUCUUUUUACUAAUCUCCACAUUGGUAGGCCCCAUAUGGAAAAUCAAUUUCUGCUUCAUUCUUGUAAGCCAGGUUUUAUCUUUGUAAAUACAUUCUUCUUGUCAGAACCCAAUCAAGCAUUUGGUCUUUCAUGGUGGUAAAUUGUUGUCCUACUUUUGCUUUGAACUGUGAUCAUUUGUUUCUAUUUUCUACUGUGUUACAGGCAUUAUGUCACUGGAGAUCUGGAAGGGCCAUUCUCUAUCCAAAUCUGACCUUCAGGCAGGAAAAACUAGUUUGUGUAAGCUCUACAGAGGAGGGGAAAGAGGUAGUGGUCCAUUUGAGGCCCACCAUCCUUCUCAGAGGAGGAGGAGGUAGUAGUCCAUCUGAGGCCUGCCAUCCUUCUCAGAAGAGGAAGAAGCAGUAGUCCAUCUGUGGUCCAUCAGACUUCUUAGAGGAGGAGGCAAUGGUCUAUGUGAUGGGUCCACCAACCUUCUCAGAGGAAGAGGAGGAGGCAGUGGUCCUUCUGAGGCCCACCAUCCUUCUCAGAGGAGAAUGAGGCAGUGGUCCAUCUGUAGUCCACCAGCCUUCUCAGAGGAGGAUGAGGCAGUGAUCCACCGAGGGUCCCAUCAGUCUUCUUAAACAGAGAGCUUGCUCUAUGUGUCAGUAGGUGAGGUGAAGAUCUGCAGGCCAGCAUCUCUGCAGUGAUGUCUACAGGCUCCUUUCCACUGUACAGCCUCUGUGAGUAAGUGUGUAGAUUGAUCAUUAUCUUAUCUUAACUUCAUGUCUUCUCCACCUUCAAAGAUCUCCAAAUUUUCAUUUUCUCCUAUAGUAGGUGUGAAUCUCAACUUACAACUAACCUUCCUUUCUGCCAAGUAACAUUCAGUUAUCAGUCAAGGUAAGAUGUUAUCGUAGUCAUAAACAUCCUAACCAAACAGUGGCUUGAUACAGUCAAGAUCUAGUUCUUGUUCCAGGAUGACAGAGGAGUCAUCUAUUGCAGCACUAGUGGUGACUGUCCAGGAUGAGGAAAGAAAAGUCUGUGUUGUCAAUCAAAUGACAACAAUGACAAAUUGACAAGUAUCAAUCAAAUGAUGAGGAGUCCUGUGUUGACAAACAAAUAUUCAGUCACAGGUCACUGUUUUGAACUAGACAAAUUGAAUGGCCCCAUCCACAAGGAGACCAAGCAGUAGAUGCCUGUCCCCUGCUCUGCAUGUGAGGAAGCAGAGAAACUCAGCAGUAAAAGCAAUAGUUUUAUAUUUUAAUUAAGUAAAUAGAAGGUGACAGUGCUCAGUGCUCUCCUCAUUGCCUGAUUUCUAGUAUUUUCAUCUGAAUUUGUUCAGGUAUUAUUACAUAUAAUUUAUUUGUCUCUUCACGUCAUUUUACUCACAAUUUUACUUUUUCUUUGCUAUCUCAGUGUCUAUUCUCACUUCUUGCCUCAAACCUCUUCUCUUUAUUAGAUUCCUAGGGAUUCCUGCAGUUCUCUCUGGCUGCAUCACACAACUUAACCUGUAAUUAUUUGCCUACUGGGCAUCCCAUUUGCUUCUGCUUUUUAUCAAUUGACUCAGAACAAAACUUUCUCUCACUAGCUCCCUUCCUGAUUCCAAAUUGACUCUCCCAUCCCAUCCCUGAUUUGACAGUUGUCCCAUUAUCCUUCCCAGUGCUCAGCAACGGUAUUUUCGUCUCCCUUUGAUCCAUUCUCUAAUUUCUUGCUUCUCACAGUGGUGUAGAUUCCACGUUCUUCCCAUGAAUCCCAUACGCUGUGUGGAUCAGAUGGCAGAGAAUGUAAAGACAUGCUGGAGAGUAAAUACAAAGGCAUGCUGCUCUGUUCCUUUGACUGUUUUCAUUCUCUAGAUUCUUUACCAACACCAAUUUACUUUUGAGGGUAGUUUCAAGCUGAGUGCAUUCUUGGAAUUGAACUUGUUACCAAGGAAGUCACAAAUUAGAUGUCUCUGCUCUCCAGGACGUUACACACCAGGAUGCAAACUCUUUAAAAGAGAGGAUCACUGGAAAUCUAAGUGUCUAUAAUUGACUUCAUGUACUUUUCUCACUCUUCAAGCACUAUGCAAUCUAUCAACUGAAAACAACUUUGUCUUCUGAAAAGAGUGUCCCACUGUCCAAAUUCUACCUUGGUAUCUAUACAGCAGCAUUACGAAGUUAAAAGGACAUGAGCCUUUGUAGCUGUAGGUUGAACUUCAAUUUGAUCCUGUGGAAACAGCAUAAAGUUGCACAUUAUGUGCCACUCUGAACUGUGAGUUCAUUCCUUUUGUAAAUGAAGGAAGAUAAUAGCCAACUUAUGCCUCUGAUGCGACAGAUUCAAUUAUGUAUCUCUGUUUUUCUUAUCAAAAGCCUUUCUCUACAUUUGUGAAAGCCUUCUGAAUUUUUAUGAUAUGAUCAGAUCAAAAGUUUCUCAUCUUCUUCAGCUUAUAUAAUGGCCCCAUAUUUUCUUAGUGAAUAAUAAAAUAAAAUAUCUGCAACAAAA